UUUAAUCGUGAAAAGGAGAUAGUUGAGAAAACAAUUCUGUGAAUUACCUUUCUGGAGAAAAGGAAAUAAGCUUGUUCACUAACACUAUGUUAGGCAGAAACUUGGUGAAUUUAAUGAUUCGGACAAGAGCACAGCCAAAGUUUUGUGUUCCAAAACGCAAUUGGGCCCAAGUUGGCCAUGUGAUUUCAACACCAGCCAGGGUCCCAGUUUCAUAUGCAGAGAAAGUUUGCCAUGUUGUAUUCAUGUUCACCGUUUGGCUUUCACCAGUGUUAUAUUUCUUGACGCAAAUUAAAGUAUGGAGACGUAUGUAUGUUCAAGAUAAUAAGUCUUAAUGCUAUCAUUUAAUAAAGAGUGAAUAUCUAAUAA